AGCACUUCGGUGCGAGUACAGCGGCGGACGGGUGAGUAACGCGUAGGAAUCUACCUAGUAGUGGGGGACAACAUGUGGAAACGCAUGCUAAUACCGCAUACGCCCUAAGGGGGAAAGCAGGGGAUCUUCGGACCUUGCGCUAUUGGAUGAGCCUGCGUCAGAUUAGCUAGUUGGUGGGGUAAUGGCCUACCAAGGCAACGAUCUGUAGCUGGUCUGAGAGGAUGAUCAGCCACACUGGGACUGAGACACGGCCCAGACUCCUACGGGAGGCAGCAGUGGGGAAUAUUGGACAAUGGGCGAAAGCCUGAUCCAGCCAUGCCGCGUGUGUGAAGAAGGCUCUAGGGUUGUAAAGCACUUUCAGUAGGGAGGAAAAGUUAGUAGUUAAUAUCUGCUAACCCUGACGUUACCUACAGAAGAAGCACCGGCAAACUCCGUGCCAGCAGCCGCGGUAAUACGGAGGGUGCGAGCGUUAAUCGGAAUUACUGGGCGUAAAGCGCGCGUAGGCGGUUUGAUAAGCUGAAUGUGAAAGCCCUGGGCUCAACCUGGGAACUGCAUCCAGAACUGUCUGACUAGAGUACAGUAGAGGUGAGUGGAAUUUCCUGUGUAGCGGUGAAAUGCGUAGAUAUAGGAAGGAACAUCAGUGGCGAAG
rnacentral:rRNA from 1 species